CACAUGACCCUCUCCCUAAACGUAUGUCCCCCAAGAAGAGAAAUUCGAAGAAACGUAAAAUAAACCCUACUCUCCAUCUCCUGUUCUGUCUCCUGUUGCUUCAACAAGUAAUACCCCCGCAGAGGUUUUUACACCUUCGGUUGGGAACUCGUCACCAUCUACUAGCCACCUACAACCAACUAUGGAAGACAUUACAGAUGCCGAGGAUCCCAUUCCAUCUACAUCCUCCUUUUCGAGUAGACCUUCUUCGCCAUGCAAUCCAGAAACAGAUCGUGUUACUCCCUCUUCUGAAGAUUUCAUCAGUGAGUCAAAUGAUACGUUCCAGAUCCCUCCUCCCCUUUCCCCUCAUC